AUUAGCGAUCGGAACCGGUGCCGUCUCAGAAAUCCUCCUCAGAGUGGAGAAGCUGCGGCCGGCCAGCUUGAAGAAGACUGAACUCGCUUCACAGCUCAUUCAAGUGCUCCAGUCUGGUUUUUGAUUCUACAUCAUCCUUCGAUAUUCUACUUCAUCUUUAAAAGUUAUCAUAGUCAGCCGGAUCCGGUCCGUAUCCAGAUCAGAUGAUGGACCUGCACCCUGAGACGACCACAACACAGCCCUGAAUGUCAGUGAAGGCCACGACAAGUGA